UUUUUUUCUUUCUUUUACUUUUUCUUCUUUUUCUUUUUCUUUUCUUUUCUUUUUCUUCUUCUUCUCUUUUCUCUUCUUCUUUCUUUUCCUAGUCAAAUAAAGGAGGGACAUGAAGGGGGGCUUGGUGGCUUGUGCUCCGACAAGAUGCAAUGGCACGGUCGGAGAUUCGACAGUGGCGGUCGACGGCAAUGGGGCAAAAGAAGGCCAGCGGUGAGGUUCGGCUGA
rnacentral:lncRNA from 1 species